rnacentral:rRNA from 1 species
CCUACGGGAGGCAGCAGUGGGGAAGAGUGCACAAUGGGGGAAACCCUGAUGCAGCGACGCCGCGUGAGUGAAGAAGUAUUUCGGGAUGUAAAGCUCUAUCAGCAGGGAAGAAAAUGACGGUACCUGAAUAAGAAGCCCCGGCGAACUACGUGCCAGCAGCCGCGGUAAUACGUAGGGGGCAAGCGUUAUCCGGAUUUACUGGGUGUAAAGGGAGCGUAGACGGCAGCACAAGUCUGGAGUGAAAUGCCGGGGCUUAACCCCGGAACUGCUUUGGAAACUGUGCAGCUAGAGUGCAGGAGAGGUAAGUGGUCUUCCUAGUGUAGCGGUGACAUGCUUCGAUAUUAGGAGGAACACCAGUGGCGAAGGCGGCUUACUGGACUGUACCUGACGUUGCGGCUCGAAAGCGUGGGGAGCAAACAGGAUUAGCUACCCUGGUAGUC